AAGGUUUUAUUAGGGUUGAUUUGGAACAAUUAGUAAAGGAAGCUGAAAAUCUAGCUAUGAGGAAAGUCAUAAACAAAAUCAGAAUGGAAUCGCCUGAAGAAGACAGUGACUGGUUUAAAAAAUCUUAUCAUCUCAAUGAGACAGAUUUUGUUGGAAUAACCAUGAUGGAUUUUCAGGAAGCAAUCAUAAAGUUCCAGCCUUCAUUGAAAAAAGAAUGGUUUUCUAUUAUCCCCGAAGUGAAAUGGGAAGAAGACAUAGGUGGGAUGGAACCAAUAAGGCACGAGUUUAUGCGUUCCAUUGUUCAACGUAUUAAAAAUCCUGACGAUAUGGUGAUCAAUGUUCCUUCAUUUUAAUGAAACAGGUUAAGUUUUAUUUUUGUGUACUGUAUUUAUAAUCUGGAUAUUUCAGAAUGUUCAAACAGAGAAAGGUUUUUUGCUUUAUGGACCUACUGGCUGUGGUAAAACAUUAAUUGCAAAGGCUGUGGUCAAUGAAGCUGGGGCUAGUUUUAUACACAUUAAGGGUCUUGAACUUUUACAAAAAUAUGGGAGAGAAAGUGAAUGGGCAGUUAAAACUAUGUU